ACGAAGUCCCAGUGACCAAAUUAAUGUGGGCCAUUCGAUCUUCAUUAGUCUUUCUCUAUUUAACGAACAGAAGAAAAAAGAAAAAGAAAAAAAAAAGAAGCUAACCCUAGCCGCCACCGUCCCUGCGUGCGUGCGUGUCGCCGCUGCUGCUCCCUGUUGCCGGCGCCGCUUCUACGCCGCCGCUGCCACAGCCGUGGUUGGACCCCGCAGCCAUUGUCAUCCGCAGCCACCAGUGGUCCCUUUUCCGUUUUUCUCCUUCCCGAGGAGAAGGGUGCAGGAGAACAGGAGAACAGGAGGAAGAAGGGGGAGAGAAAGGCCAAGCAAUUUUGGGGAUUUCAGUGACUUCGUAACUAGUGCGUUUGUUCUCAAAUUCUAGUAUCUUCGCUGCAACGGUACCUAAUGACAUUGAUUGGCAUGGGACGGGAGUAGCACCCUGGACUACACAUUAUUAUUGCACAUUAUUGGAAUUUAGUUUUAGACUAUGAUUCUGCUUAGCAAAGUUUUGCAUAGAACUUGUAGAGGUUAUUUAAAGUUCUGGUCCUUAUUUUCGCGUGGAACUUAUGGAGCUAGGAUGGUUUGGAUUGUGUGGUUUAUAUCGUUAUUGUGUUAUCUUAUAAUUGCCUGUCGUGGAUGUCCGUAUUUUUUAGGGGAGACUUUGCCGAAAUUUGUAAUAAUUUUGGGAGUUAGUGGUUUUGAGUGUAGUUUUGGUGUGCCACUCUAGGUACAUGGUUACCUGGGGUGUUACAGUUAAUGAAUCUAGAUCUACUCCA